UGGGGAAUCUUGGACAAUGGGCGCAAGCCUGAUCCAGCCAUGCCGCGUGGAUGAUGAAGGCCUUAGGGUUGUAAAAUCCUUUCGUGGGGGACGAUAAUGACGGUACCCCAAGAAGAAGCUCCGGCUAACUUCGUGCCAGCAGCCGCGGUAAUACGAAGGGAGCUAGCGUUGUUCGGAAUCACUGGGCGUAAAGCGCACGUAGGUGGGCAGUUAAGUCAGGGGUGAAAGCCCGAGGCUCAACCUCGGAAUUGCCUCUGAUACUGGCUGUCUAGAGUUCGAGAGAGGUGAGUGGAAUUCCUAGUGUAGAGGUGAAAUUCGUAGAUAUUAGGAAGAACACCGGUGGCGAAGGCGGCUCACUGGCUCGAUACUGACACUGAGGUGCGAAAGCGUGGGGAGCAAACAGGAUUAGAUACCCCAGUAGUCCCUGAGCGGGCUGGCAAGGCGCAU
rnacentral:rRNA from 1 species